rnacentral:rRNA from 1 species
UACAGGGGGGUGCAAACGUUGCUCGGAAUCAUUGGGCGUAAAGCGCACGUAGGCGGUCUGUUAUGUCGGAUGUGAAAGCCCUUGGCUCAACUGAGGAAGUGCAUCCGAAACUGGCAGGCUAGAGUACUAAAGAGGGUCGCGGAAUUCCCGGUGUAGAGGUGAAAUUCGUAGAUAUCGGGAGGAACACCGGUGGCGAAGGCGGCGACCUGGGUAGAUACUGACGCUGAGGUGCGAAAGCGUGGGGAGCGAACAGG